rnacentral:rRNA from 1 species
CAUCGAGGUCACAAACUUUAUUUUAAAUAAGAACUUUAAAUAAAAUUGUGCUGUUAUCCCUGAAGUAAUUGGAUUAUAAGAUCUUUAAAGAGGGUCUAUUUGUUCAUGAUUUUGUUUAUUUAAUAAUAAGGAUUUUUUCUUAUCAGUCUUCCCAACUAAACUUUGUUUUAAAUUAUUUAAACUCAGGUCAAAAAAGUAAAAUUUUACAGGGUCUUAUCGUCUUUAGGUUUAUUGAAUAGGAGUUUUGACCUAUAAUUAAUUUAUAGUAUUUUAGCUUGAAUAGUUUAUUUCAUGUUUAACCUUUCAUUCUAGUUCUUAUUUAAAGAAAAAAUUAUUAUGCUACCUUAGUAUAGUGUGACUAUAGCUCUUUAAUUGUUCAGUGAGCAGGUUAGACCUUUUAUGGGUACAAAAAGACAUGUUU